rnacentral:tRNA from 1 species
GCGUCCUUGCAGGUCGGGGGCGUCGAAACGAACGGCCUCCGGAGCCGUGUGCGGAGGUUCGAAUCCUCCAGGGGGCA